rnacentral:rRNA from 1 species
CCCGUGCGAUGAGAUGCCCAAUUCUAUGUAAAGUGCUUUCGAAGAGUCGAGUUGUUUGGGAAUGCAGCUCUAAGUGGGUGGUAAAUUCCAUCUAAAGCUAAAUAUUGGCGAGAGACCGAUAGCGAACAAGUACAGUGAUGGAAAGAUGAAAAGAACUUUGAAAAGAGAGUGAAAAAGUACGUGAAAUUGUUGAAAGGGAAGGGCUUGAGAUCAGACUUGGUAUUUUGCGAUCCUUUCCUUCUUGGUUGGGUUCCUCGCAGCUUACUGGGCCAGCAUCGGUUUGGAUGGUAGGAUAAUGACUAAGGAAUGUGGCUCUACUUCGGUGGAGUGUUAUAGCCUUGGUUGAUACUGCCUGUCUAGACCGAGGACUGCGUCUUUUGACUAGGAUGUUGGCAUAAUGAUCUUAAGCCACCCGUCUUGAAACACGGACCAAGGAGUCUAACGUCUAUGCGAGUGUUUGGGUGUAAAACCCGUACGCGUAAUGAAAGUGAACGUAGGUGAGAGCUCUUAAGAGUGCAUCAUCGACCGAUCCUGAUGUCUUCGGAUGGAUUUGAGUAAGAGCAUAGCUGUUGGGACCCGAAAGAUGGUGAACUAUGCCUGAAUAGGGUGAAGCCAGAGGAAACUCUGGUGGAGGCUCGUAGCGGUUCUGACGUGCAAAUCGAUCGUCGAAUUUGGGUAU